rnacentral:lncRNA from 1 species
CAGCCCAAAUUCUACAUUGACCCUGUAAAUACCAGUUUGUUUUACCCAGCUCUUGUUUCCAUCUUUUAACCUGCUCCUAGCCAUUCUUUCCUUGUGUUUCAUUAACGAAAAUCCUUGAUAAUCUUUUGGUGGAAGGACUGAAUUUUUUAUGCACUUUCAUCUUCAAGCUUUUUGUAACACAAUGGCAUUGAAACUUAGCUCCCAGAAUGAUAUAUUUAGGAGCAAAACUUAAGUUGGUCAUUGCACACAAUAGUUAGGUCUUAAAGUGAUUAUACUGUUUGACACAACUUGAAACAAGGGCAACCAUCCAUGUGGAACGCAAACCAAUUUGCUUUUCUAUCAGCACUUACGUGCACAGGCCUGUUCAGGAGCAAAGCUCAAAGUACCAUGUGCGUGCAUGACAGUUUCAAAGUGAUUACAGCAUAUUAUACAUUGCUGGAAUGCUAGCAUGCGCAAGAGACGCAAACCCUUUUGGUUGCGCAGUUGAUGAUUAAGAGAUUUAGCCAUAUCUU